UGGGUACAAAAUAACUUAUUCUGUAGCCAGUUUGAGUUACGAUAAUUACUAUAUUAAUUUACGAGAUUAUAGUAACUCUAUACUAAGUGGUUUACUAUAAUGUUAUGGUUAAUAUCUUCAUGUGUUAUAGUAACCCAACUAUUGUAAAUAUCUAUUGAUAUUAUCGUAAAUUAGUAUAUAAAAUUAUCGUAAAUAGAGGUGGCUGCAGAAUAACUUAUAUUGUAUAUA
rnacentral:pre_miRNA from 1 species